GCUGUGGCAGAGUGGUAACGCUCGCAACUUAGAUUCGUCAGGUCGUCGGUUCGAGGCCCACCAUAUUCU